CCUGCCUGUGGGCAUAAAACAAAAGAAGGCCUGUGUGCUGAGUUGUGGCACUCCUGGCCCCGGCCUCGACUGCCCAGGUGAUGGAACACAGGCAGAGCUCAAACGGGUCUGUCCCAGCAGGCCCCGGGCGAGGCCACCAACCUUGUCCUCAAUUACCAGACAUUUCUAUUCCUGGA